UACGUAGGGGGCGAGCGUUGUCCGAAGUUACUGGGCGUAAAGCGCGCGUAGGCGGGCUGUUAAGUGAGAAGUGAAAGGCUGAGGCUCAACCUCAUGCAGUGCUCCUCAUACUGGCAGUCUUGAGGGAGGCAGAGAGAAGUGGAAUGGCUGGUGUAGCGGUGAAAUGCGUAGAUAUCAGUCGGAACACCCGUGGCGAAGGCGGCUUCUUGGGCCUUACCUGACGCUGAUGCGCGAAAGCCAGGGUAGCGAACGGG
rnacentral:rRNA from 1 species